GACGUAGGGGGCAAGCGUUGUCCGGAAUUACUGGGCGUAAAGCGUGCGCAGGCGGUGAUGUAAGACAGAUGUGAAAUCCCCGGGCUCAACCUGGGAACUGCAUUUGUGACUGCAUCGCUGGAGUGCGGCAGAGGGGGAUGGAAUUCCGCGUGUAGCAGUGAAAUGCGUAGAUAUGCGGAGGAACACCGAUGGCGAAGGCAAUCCCCUGGGCCUGCACUGACGCUCAUGCACGAAAGCGUGGGGAGCAAACAGG
rnacentral:rRNA from 1 species